GAUGAAGAACGUAGCGAAAUGCGAUAAGUAAUGUGAAUUGCAGAAUUCCGUGAAUCAUCGAAUCUUUGAACGCACAUUGCGCCCUCUGGUAUUCCGGGGGGCAUGCCUGUCCGAGCGUCAUUGCAACCCUCAAGCACGGCUUGUGUGUUGGGCCCUCGUCCCCAGUGGACGUGCCCGAAACGCAGUGGCGGUUCCGUGUUCCGGUGCCCGAGCGUAUGGGGCUUUAUCACCCGCUCUUGAGGCCCGGCCGGCGCCCGCCGGCGACCCCCCCUCAAUCUUUCCAGGUUGACCUCGGAUCAGGUAGGGAUACCCGCUGAACUUAAGCAUAUCAAUAAGCGGAGGA
rnacentral:misc_RNA from 1 species